GUCAGAGGGGCAGGUGGUGCGUAUAAUUUAGGAUUAUAGGGGUAGCUGAUU
rnacentral:tRNA from 1 species